rnacentral:rRNA from 1 species
AUUGAACGCUGGCGGCAGGCUUAACACAUGCAAGUCGAACGGUAACAGGCAGACGCUUGCUUCCGUGCUGACGAGGGGCGGGUGGGGCAGCGAAGCGUGCGAAACGGCCUGAUGGAGCGGGACGACAACUGUACUCGUACCCCAUGACCGCUUAGCGUGGCACCGCCACACCGGGCAACCAUCUUUCCCCUCGCCCCCGUGUGGCCGCCGAUGUGGGAUUAGCGAGGGGGUGGGGUCACGGCACACCACGGCGACGACCCGUAGCUGGUCUGAGAGGAUGACCAGCCACACUGGGACUGAGACACGGUCCAGACUCCUACGGGAGGCAGCAGUGGGGAAUGUUGGACAAUGGGCGCAAGCCUGAUGCAGCAAUGCCGCGUGUGGGAAGAAGGCCUUCGGGUUGUAAAGUGCUUUCGGCGGGGAGGAAGGGGGUUCCGUUAAUACCGGGGGUUAAUGACGGUACCCGCAGAAGAAGCACCGGCUAACUCCGUG